rnacentral:rRNA from 1 species
UACGAAGGGUGCAAGCGUUGCUCGGAAUUAUUGGGCGUAAAGGGUAGGUAGGUGGUGGCAGAAGUCUGAAGUGAAAUCCCUAAGCUUAACUUAGGACGUGCUUUGGAAACUUUGUCACUAGAGUACUAGAGAGGUUCGUGGAAUUCCUGGUGUAGCGGUGAAAUGCGUAGAGAUCAGGAGGAACAUCAGCGGCGAAGGCGGCGGACUGGAUAGUAACUGACACUCAACUACGAAAGCGUGGGGAGCAAACAGG